AGCGUGAUGGCGCAGCUGGUAGCGCGCUGGGCUCAUAACCCAGAGGUCGUCGGAUCGAAACUGACUCCCGCUA
rnacentral:tRNA from 3 species